CCUACGUGUGGCAGCAGUGGGGAAUAUUGCGCAAUGGGCGAAAGCCUGACGCAGCGACGCCGCGUGAGGGCUGAAGGUCUUCGGAUCGUAAACCUCUGUCAGCAGGGAAGAACGGUCACUGUGCUAAUCAGCAGUGAAUUGCCGGUACCUGCAACGGAAGCACCGGCUAACCCCGUGCCCGCCGCCGCGGUAAUACGGAGGGUGCGAGCGUUAAUCGGAAUUACUGGGCGUAAAGCGCUCGUAGGCGGUAUGUCAAGUCACGGGUGAAAUCCCCGCGCUCAACGUGGGAACUGCCUUUGAAACUGGCAAACUGGAGUGUGUGAGAGGAUAGAGGAAUUCCAGGUGUAGGAGUGAAAUCCGGAGAUAUCUGGAGGAACAUCAGUGGCGAAGGCGACUAUCUGGCACAUAACUGACGCUGAGGAGCGAAAGCGUGGGUAGCAAACAGGAUUAGAUACCCCAGUAGUC
rnacentral:rRNA from 1 species